GCCAACUGAAGCAAAAACACUUUAUAUGAAGAUAUAAAUCCUCGGUAGACAUCUUGGUUUGCCUACAAGCUAAACCGGAAAUCAGCCUCAUAAACUUUUUCAUAGUGUGCGUGUAAUUUCUCUUCUAAUUUAUUAAAUUUCUUCGAAAAACUCAGUAAGUGUUUCUAUGUAUGCGUGAAAACACGUCAAUUUGUCUCGUUGAAUUCGUCCAUAUUACAAAUACAACAAUGUAAACAAAUGGGUUUUUGGAGGGUGAUACGUACGAAGGAUUUAUAUCUUUACUAGAGUGUUUUUGAUCUGAAGUAUACGACUAUUUUAUGCAGUAAGUGUGAGUUCCAAUUUUAACCUGCAAAUACAUACAAUUUUUGGAAUUAUUCAAGUACCUACGUGCUAAACAAAGUGCUUCUUGUAUUAUUAUUGUUAUUUCAAGAUCUUACGACAGCUUGGUUCAUGGAUUUAAUUAUUAAAAUGUGCAACAUUAUUAUUUCUAUUUAGUAGCUGCGCCGAUUACAUUUUGAUAUAUUGCCUAUUUACAUAACAACCAUUAGACACAAUGGACACUUCUAGAGAAAAACCCUUUAAAACAUCGAUGACAUGGAUAAAACUCUCCAAUUUGUCCUAGAAGAUCAAUCAAACGCAAAUUGUUCAAACCAAAAUCAUACAUCUGUUUGUAAAAGAACAGUUAAGAAAUAUCUAUCUCAUGGUGAAGGCUAAAGCUCAAAACAUUUUUUAAAGCACAAGGAAAACUAAACCGUUUAGUUUCUAUUACGAGUAUCACUGCUAAGGAGUUCGAUGUUCAAGCCAAAUUCAAGAAAAGUUGGUAGAGAUAAGGAAAUUACUUCAAGUCAAAAAACAAUCCUUACAACCCACUGUAAUUCAUGUUGGAGAAAAUAAAGCUGAAUUCAAGGAGGCGUAUUAAGCUAUCGAUGACAGUCUAUACAAAUGGGAAGGGCUCAUAGAGGCUCAUCGUAUUCAGUACCUUACACUACACAAAUUAUACUACAGUUAAUUCACUCAUAUGCGACCUUACGUAAGUCCUAUAAGCAUUAAAAUUAUUUUAUUCUAAAAUACAAAUAAAAUUCAAGUUUGUAUAAUUAAUUUCUAAAGAAAAUCAUUCAAAUUUAAUUUAUGAGAGGGUAUAUA